rnacentral:rRNA from 1 species
UACGUAGGUCCCGAGCGUUGUCCGGAUUUAUUGGGCGUAAAGCGAGCGCAGGUGGUUUAUUAAGUCUGGUGUAAAAGGCAGUGGCUCAACCCCUUCCCGCCAUUGAAACUGGCGAUCUUGAGUGGAAGAGAAGUAUGCGGAAUGCGUGGUGUAGCGGUGAAAUGCAUAGAUAUCACGCAGAACCCCGAUUGCGAAGGCAGCAUGCCGGCUUCCUACUGACGCUGAAGCACGAAAGCGUGGGGAUCGAACAGG